rnacentral:rRNA from 1 species
AGGACGAACGCUGGCGGCGCGCUUAACACAUGCAAGUCAAGGGGGCCCGCAAGGGUAACCGGCGAACGGGUGCGUAACACGUGAGCGACCUGCCGAUCUGCGGGGGAUAGCCGGCCCAACGGCCGGGUAAUACCGCAUACGCUCUGCUUGGGCAUCCCGAGCUGAGGAAACUUCCGGGGCGAUCGAGGGGCCUCGCGGCCUAUCAGCUAGUUGGCGAGGUAACGGCU